CUGUGCUAUCUGUCUCAACAUUGCUGGCUGACCGCAAACCGACUCAGAGGCCCUGUAGAGAACUUGUCUAUAUCUGGCUUCAGCGGACCACGGACGUUUACCCAAACACCGCUGCAUCUGCUUGACCACAAAAACCACACAUCUCCUGUUUUGUACCCUCAUCCCAGCAAGUACGCCCAGACCCCAGAGGAUGAAAAAUUCUCUGAUAAGACGGUAUGGGUGCUUGCACCACCACCGAGUGAGGGGUGAGGCUAUGCAAAGCAGCUCUUGGAAGGAGCAGAGACUUUUGGGUGAACAACUCUCAAAUAUCUAUAAAAGAACCGUGACAACCAGCACCAAAUGGAAUUCCCCAUCUGACGUGAAGUCAAUCCGGGCUGACGGGAUCCCCAGCUCCAUGCGGUGUUUUCCUUCUUGCCCUGCAAAGAGCUUUGAUUGACCUGCAGAAAUACAAGUGGUUACCUUGGAAAGGACUGAGACAAGCGUUUCCAUGGUGCAGAACAGCACUGCGCAUGCCUUAGUGAAAUCAGAAACAAACCCCUCUUCUCUCUAUUGGGAAAGUCCCACUAUGCAGCUGUAGCUGCCGAUCCAUUAGAAUAUUGUUUCAGAUCUUCAGAAAUUGCUUUUAACAUGUAUCUCUUUUUUUUCCCCUGCAGAACAGUUGGUAAUAUACAUGGGUUUAAUAUGGAACUUAGUCUAAGUAAUUAUAUUGUAAUUAGUAUAACUAAUUAUGCUGACGGAGAAAGCAACAGUGAUGAGAAAAAAUAAAUGAGAAAUGGUUAUAUCCAUGGAAAACUUUCCUAUUAGCAAAUAUGAUAGGUUCCCAAAAUUUGAAGGGAACCAAAGGAAAAUAUGAACUUCCUGGAUGGUAGUAAAGAAUCCACCAUCACUUCUGUUUCCACAAGCUCUUAGCAACAGCUUCUACACUGUUUCUACAGGGACUAAACAGAAAAAGAAAACCAAUGCAAAGGGCCACUGAAUCAAUGCAACCCAUUCUGGACAUUUCAGGAAAAGGAAAUUAAAACCCAGAAAACAGUUUGAUCAAGUGAGCAAAACCAAACAUUUUUUCUUCACCAUAGCAAAUGAAUCUUCAGAAAUGAAAGCUUAUCAUAUUUUCACUCUACUUCUCAUAGAAGAUGUAAAAAAUUGUUGCUUUGAAUACCUUUAAACAUUAUAAAGAGGAUUUCUUUACUCUUAUAUCCUACCAAGAUUAUAUGUUGUAUUGAACAAAGGCUUUUUAUCUCUUUCAAAUGCUCUAUGUAUUAACAUAACCUAAUUUAGUAUGUUCCAUUAUGCCCAAUCAAGAUUUUAUUAGUUAUAAUUGAUUUAAAUGGGCAGAUAUUUUCCUUCCAGUUUGAGCCAAAAUUAGCACACAACCAACUUAAAUCAGCAGUUUCCCAAAUUGUUACGGUAUUCUGGACCAGCAACCCCAGAAAAAGUAGACCCUAAAGACUCAAAUUUUACAAAAUAACCUCAGUGUUGAUAAUGGAUAAAGAGAAGUUUUGGAAUCUUAGCAGCUAAUGGGUGUUUGAAACCCCAGAUUUGACCUUUGUAGUUUGACCCAAUCUGCAAUUUUAAUAUAAAUGAUGCAGGCCUAUUUACUCACCAUGCUCAACCCAGGGAACAUAGCCUAGCCUUGAAUUGUGAACACAGUAGAACUGUGAACACAUGUAGAUCUACCCAUGCGCCUGCCCAGAUGCAACACUAGAGAAAGGGCUAGUGACAGUCAUCUUUAAUGACACACAAGCUGGGAAGAAAAUCCUGGAAUGACAGGAACUGAAACAAAAGGCACACAAAGUAUAGCAGAAAGAGCAGCUAGAACCUUUGACGAAAUUCAGUACUAAUAAUUUGCCCUCUGUCAUUUCAUUUUCUAAACAUAUCUUAGGAACUAAAAAAUGUAAAAAAAAGGGAAAAGCAAUAAGAAAGUAUCUACAGAUUUUGAGAGUCCUACCACCAAGGCUUGGCAACCUCUUUUCCAAAGGACCCUACACUGCUGUGACAUACUCAGAAGUAACAGGACACACACUAUGAAAGGACAUUCCUGUAAGGUGCUUGUCUAUUGUCUUAGUAUGUAUAAUAUGGCAUAUCCACAUUGUAACAUAAGAUUUUCCCAUAGUCUAAUACCAACAGUGAAUGUUUUCUGCUCAAACAUACCUACAGUUGGAGAGAGUUCAGCCACACGUUUUGUGUUGCUCCUGCAUGAGCUCCUCAAAAAGCCUAAAACAGGUUUGGAGGCACCUGCACAAGUCUAUAAUGACUGAGCACUGGCAGGAUGAUACUUCACAAAAUCAACUAACAUUUGAUCAUGGAAACACAUCUGUUGCUUAGACUCUGCCAAAGACUAUUUUGACAGCUCUAUAUAAAGGCUCAAGUAUUCCAGAGCAUGGCAUUUCUGUAGGUUUAUAGAGACAGACUGGAGAUAAAAAGGAAAUCCUUCAGCCAGAAACCUUAGAGGACAAGGUUGCUGUGCUCCUUAAGUAUCAGUCUGUUUAAAAAACAGAACUCAAGAAACAGAAUGGUGUGUUAGGUUGACUGUGCCUCAGAGAGCCAGCCUGUAGAUGGAUGUGCUUUUUCUAAACCUGCUCUGUGUACUAUUAGCUUACCAAGUGGUAAAUUAGUCUUGCCUAUGUAACACCCGUGCCAUCAUCACUGCUUGUGAAUCUGCCCCUCUGGGAGCAUUUUUUUUUUUAGAAUUGCCAGCAAAGAUGCAGCUUUAAGACAUUCAAGUCCAUCAGUGUGCAGGGGAGAAAUCACUGGGCAUGAGGAAAUUUUACUGUGAAUCAUGCUUUUUGGGUGGGAGACUCAAGUAAAGAUUAAAUAAAGGUUUGAGGCAUUUUCCCCCACAAUAUUGCACCUGGCAAAUUUCCAGAGAGAAAUAAACUGGGAUGUAGGAGACAGACUGAAAGCUUCUCAAAGACAAAAUGAAAAGCUACAUUUGGGUCCAUUUAAAAAAAUUACACCAUUUUAGAAGAAAUGAAGAAUAUAAAUCCAGUCGGAAUGAAGUUAGGACCUUACUAAAAACUAAAUUUCUCUUGUAAUUUUUGUGGCUUUGUAUUUCUAUCACUAUAUUUCAUCUACAGCAUAAACAUUGAAAAUACAGCCUUUAAUACCAGGCCUAAAAAAGACUUAAAGUUAUUCCUUUUCUGAACAAUGCUUUUCCAGCAGUGUAGAUCUACAGUAUUGGCAGACUUUAAACACUGUCCUUUAGACAUACCGUUCCCCAGCGUGUUCUUUAUUUCAGACAGACCAAUACUUCAGCUGCCUCACAAAACCUCCUCAUUUAGGAUUUCUAGUUGAAAGAUUUCCUUUUUUAUGACAAUGAUGUCACAGAUUAGUGAGGGUAGCUACUUCCUACCGACCCCUGUUAUCCAAGAUUGUGUUAUAUGUGGUUAGUUUCAUUUUUCAUUCUCUGCUUUCAAAAUUAACUCAGCUGUGGAUGAAGAUAUAUAUCCUAUUAGUGCUAUCCCUUUGGGGAAUGCCUACAACAGCUGCAGCUGCCAUUUCAUUUUUCCUUAAUACCCUUGUGUCCUAGAAUACAAAUAAAACAAAUGUUGGAAUCUUGUCCACUGCACACCCCACAUCGUAUUAUUUUAAACAUACUGUACAGCUACAUAAAAUGCCCCUGAUAAGACAUUGUUAGUCACUUGCAAAGAAGCCAUUAGAAUAACAGUUUGUGCCUCCAUAAUCCAUCCCACAAUAAAGAAAUUCCACACUGAAUACCAAUAAAUGAACCAAGAUCUCAUAAGCCUUCUUAACUCUGAACAGUGAAAUAUUAAAAUACUGCAGAAACCAUGACAGCUGACAGGUGGAGUCAUUAGAAAAAUGUAUGCAAAUCCAGCAGCAAAUGACGCUGCAUAAAGGGGUUUGCAGCUAAUAACUUGUGCUGAUGUGCAGUCCCAUAUUCUGAAAAGAAAACGUCUAACAUUUAUAUUGAUGACAAGUAAAACAGUAAUAUAUUUAAAUUCAGAUAUCUUUUGUCCUGCAUUCAAGUUAAAGUUGGGAGAUAGACUUAAAAAACUAAUAAUAGAGAUCUCAGAUCUUGCUUAUACUUACAUUUUGACAUGUCAGCUUAUGUAUUAAAAUUCAGCUAAGGGUAAGAACCCAACAUUAUCAUCAGCACUGAAUUUCCAUCUUGUAAGUAAAGAUACUGUUACUGACUAAAACAAGACUGUGUCUUGUUCCUGUGCAGUCAAGUAGCAAAGAAAAAGAACUUCAGAGUCUUUGACUGAUACUGUCUCAUGCAUUUGCUACUUCCAUCCCCAUUAGUGGUUGUGGUGGUGCAUUUCUCUCCCUUUCCAGGCUGUUCUACACCCCGGGAGUUGCUGACUAGGCCUCAGUGCCUGGAGUAAGGAGUUAGGCAGUUGAGCACCCCUUGACCAUACCAGUAACUCCUACUCGACUGAGGCAGAGUGGCACUGCCUGUGCUGGAACUCCCAUUGACUGGCCAAAGCAGGGAAUGAGAACG